GUAUUAUGCGCGUUGUACUUUGUCCCAGAGCGAUGUAAAGUAUUAGCAUUAUCCUCGUCAGAUUAUCGUGUUCAAACCGUGACGGUUGGUUCAGACGUGGAAAUCCCUUGUAUCAGCGACGAUUCAUGUCUAUCCACAAUUCUCCGUUAUAGUUCGGUUCCUAGCUUAUCCGAAAGAACAUUUAUUAUGCACCACUUCAAAGGUCAAGGUCUCAAGAUUCAUGAAAGUUAUAAAGGACGCGUCGCACUUCAUAAUUCAACGAAAGUAAUCUUGCAGAAUGUCAGAGUUUAUGAUAGUGGAUUCUAUGUAUGUAAUGUUUUUUUUAAAAACGGCUCAGAAGACAUCUACCGAAUUCAUUUGAAAAUUGGAGGAAUAAAAGCACCGCUCAGAUUAAGAGGGCCAUCCAGUGCAAAAGGCAUCGGUCGUGUCGAGGUAUUUUACAACGGAACCUGGGGG